rnacentral:rRNA from 1 species
AGGUCAGGACACGGUAAGAUUGACGGACUGAAGGCUCUUUCUCGAUUCCGUGGAAAGUGGUGCAUGGCCGUUUUUGGUUGGUGGAUCGAUCCGUCUGGUUAAUUCCGUUAACGAACGAGACCUCGGCACUCCGAAUAGCGCGGCGGACGUCGCGGCCUCCGGGCCGUCUUCCGCACGAGCUUCUUAGAGGGACCGUCCCCCGCCGGGGAAGGAGGUGCGAGGCAACGACAGGUCUGUGAUGCCCUUAGAUGUUCUGGGCCGCACGCGCAUUACACUGACGCGUCCAACGGGUGACUCCCGACCCGAAGGGGCCGGGGAAUCCGCAAGGCGCGUCGUGAUGGGGAUUGAACGUUGCAAUUGUUGUUCACGAACGAGGAAUUCCUAGUAGGCGCGGGUCAUCAACCCGCGCCGAUUACGUCCCUGCCCUUUGUACACACCGCC